CUUUCCUUCACGGUGAUAGUAUUUGACAUAUAUCUGAUUCGUAAAUGCGAGUUUCAGUGUGUUGGUUUGAACUUGGCCUGGCUUUUGACUCAUUAUGAGAGUAUGUGAUAAAAGUGUGAGAGCCACCACGGCUUAACUUCCACACUUUGCUCAUUAACACAAUACGUGUGUAGUGAUUUGAAAUGAGCCUCAUACGGUCGCACCAAAAUAUAUGUAGCGAUUUGAAAUGAGCCUCACAAGGCCGCACCAAAAUAUACUUGGCGAUUGGAAUUUAUAAUAAAUGUCUGAAGAUUAAUAAUCUCAAAUUAUGACAUUUAUGCACUCGUUGAAAGGGGCACCACCCACCCUUAAUGGUGGGAAAAUAAAGAAAACAAAAGUUUAAUUCAGAAAUCAAACAUCAAGUCAGUUUUAAUUAAUCAGUCUUAAUUAAUCAGUCUUAAUUAAUCAGUCUCAUAUCUUAAGUCGAAAUUCUAAUUUCAGGGACUCCACUUCUGGAAGAACACUAACAGACCAGAACUUAGAAAAAUAAUUAUCUGUUUAUUACAGGAUAAAUGAUGGUACAACAUACAUGCAAUAAAUGAUGAUAAGAUAAUGAAGAUAAAUAAUAAUAGGUGAAUAAAUCAAGAUUCUGAGUCAGGCUAGGAGCACUAAAGUUAAUGAUAGUGAGUGAAUAUGCGCUAACAUAUUAACCUACACUAACUUUAGUGUCGAGAUAAACUCGGAUGUGGAUUUGGAGGAAUCUAAGAUUACCAGAAUAAGAGGAUAUCUGAGUUGAACGCAGGAGACAGCACCAGCCCUCUUUAGAGCUCUGGAGGUUUGCAUACUUAAGUGAGACUGGUCCUUGGAGAAGAUGGAGCAGGUUCCGAAGGUCCGGGCUACUGGCGGUUCGAGCGGUUCAGCUCAGAAGACGACUGAAGUCAGCCGAAGGAUGAGCCAGGAGUUGCAGCACUCAGGCCCGAAGCAAAAACCAGCGCCUGUGGAUCCUGUGGAUGCUCGUUUGGGUACUUCUUUAGUCUCACUCAAAAACUCUGGCACAGAGGAUGACCUGGGCCUGUUGGAUUGCGUUCGGAGGUGACUUUGAAAUCACGCAGAAAACUCAGAAAAACGAGGCUCGAAGAGCAGAGAAAACUUUCAAAAAUGGCUUCGCGAAAUUAAAGAAAAUCAAUCAAAGGCUUAAUCUUGAAUUUCUAUGUGCACAAAAAGUUGAAGUUUCAAAACUUGAACUAAGACGAUGUUAAAGAAAAAUCAACGUGAAUCAACACGUGGCGUAAAACUUAGAAGACUAAGAAAAAGUUCUAAGAGAAAACAAAGAAACGCACCACAGAAGGGUGUGGGCAGAAGAGAAGGGGCAUAAGAGCCGGGGACAAGAGAGUCCGCAGAAGAGCAGAAGCAUAAGAGAGAAAAAGGCAUAAGAGACAUAAGAGAGAAAAGAAACAAGAGAGAGAAGAAUGAGCAACCCCACUUCACUGGUUUUAUCUUCUCACACUGGGUGUGUCUCCGGCGUGUGGGUGUGAAGAGAAAGAGGAGGAGGGGUUGUGUGGUCUCCAAGCAGAGAUGAACUCGGAUCUCUGAUUAUUUGAUCUAACUUAUACUUUUGGCUGGUAAAAGAGUCAGAUCUGAUACUCACUCACUAUGAUUAAUAUCAUUGAAUGCUAGGUUUCAUGAUAAAUAAUUUGACACUAAACACAUAUGAAUGAAGUGUAGGAUCACAUCAAACAUUCUCAUUAUGUUUUAAGUAUCACAUUGAACAUGCUAAAUUACUCUGAAAUGAAACAGAUAGUAACACAUGGAAACUGUGAACAACAAAAGAGUAAACAAAUGUGAAUGAACUUCAUCAUGAUUAAUAAUGGAUUCUAAAUACUCACAUUCAGAUUAUUCAAUGACAUUAUAACCACCUAAUGGUUAAAAAUACUAAAUAAACAUCUACAAUAUAAACCAAACAUUUCUAAACUGUUUCUGUUACCUAGAGUUAAGUUAUGAUUCAUAGUCGAUAAAUUUAACUCUUAAAAGUUCAUGAAACAGUCUGAAAAGCUGUUGGUCUAAAGAACUAAAGAAUAAGGAUUUAUUCUGUCAGAUAAGAUAACUUGGCUUCUGAAGCACAUAGAAAAACGGGAAACAUCUCAUUUUAACACAAAUUUCAUGAUUAGACAGAUUAGUACAUUGCUGAAUGCAUAAGAUGUCAUGAUCAGUCAUUUGUAUUCUUUCACCAAAGGAAUGCAGUCUUUAUCAGUGUAUGGUCGAGCAGGGUUUUACGACCAAGGUCUGGAGGUCAGUGUCCCCCCCUUAUCCUGGGGUCCGUAUGUUCACACACUUUAAGACGGUAAAUCUCAAAUGGGUGAUCUGGGUUGAGAUGUUAAUGUUUAUUUAGAUGGUCAGCAAAUGGAGUCAGUUUGAAGGGUAAUAAAAACUCUGUCUCUGUUCGCCGAACUGACCAAUCCUGAAGAGUCAGAGGUUUAGUCAACCUCCGGUUGGGUCACUUAUUUAACCUGAAAGGGCAAACACGUCUGGAAAGAUUUAUAUCCUGUUUCCUGGGACCAGAUAAGGAAACUUUCCUGUAAGGAAUGUGUGGGUUUCACAUCCAGGGUUGUCUUGAUUGCUACACGUGCAAGUGAUAGAGACAAGAAGGCAGAGUGUGAGAAGUAGCCGUCAUCCUGCAUGUGCUGCAUGUGCUGUGAUCUUUAUUGAAACCAAAUUCCAGACUUUAAUAUCUAUAAAACUACUGACAGUGUGCUUGCAAUUGUUCAACAACUUUUGAUAAUACUACGGAUAUAAACACCAUCAUGGACUAAAAGACAAUAGAAGAGGAAGCUGGUUUCUUUAAAGACCCACUCCGGUGAAAAUCAUGUUUUCUUGUUUUUU
rnacentral:lncRNA from 1 species